rnacentral:rRNA from 1 species
CAGGCUUAACACAUGCAAGUCGAGGGGCAGCAUGGUCUUAGCUUGCUAAGGCCGAUGGCGACCGGCGCACGGGUGAGUAACACGUAUCCAACCUGCCGUCUACUCUUGGACAGCCUUCUGAAAGGAAGAUUAAUACAAGAUGGCAUCAUGAGUCCACAUGUUCACAUGAUUAAAGGUAUUCCGGUAGACGAUGGGGAUGCGUUCCAUUAGAUAGUAGGCGGGGUAACGGCCCACCUAGUCUUCGAUGGAUAGGGGUUCUGAGAGGAAGGUCCCCCACAUUGGAACUGAGACACGGUCCAAACUCCUACGGGAGGCAGCAGUGAGGAAUAUUGGUCAAUGGGCGAGAGCCUGAACCAGCCAAGUAGCGUGAAGGAUGACUGCCCUAUGGGUUGUAAACUUCUUUUAUAAAGGAAUAAAGUCGGGUAUGGAUACCCGUUUGCAUGUACUUUAUGAAUAAGGAUCGGCUAACUCCGUGCCAGCAGCCGCGGUAAUACGGAGGAUCCGAGCGUUAUCCGGAUUUAUUGGGUUUAAAGGGAGCGUAGAUGGAUGUUUAAGUCAGUUGUGAAAGUUUGCGGCUCAACCGUAAAAUUGCAGUUGAUACUGGAUAUCUUGAGUGCAGUUGAGGCAGGCGGAAUUCGUGGUGUAGCGGUGAAAUGCUUAGAUAUCACGAAGAACUCCGAUUGCGAAGGCAGCCUGCUAAGCUGCAACUGACAUUGAGGCUCGAAAGUGUGGGUAUCAAACAGGAUUAGAUACCCUGGUAGUCCACACGGUAAACGAUGAAUACUCGCUGUUUGCGAUAUACAGCAAGCGGCCAAGCGAAAGCGUUAAGUAUUCCACCUGGGGAGUACGCCGGCAACGGUGAAACUCAAAGGAAUUGACGGGGGCCCGCACAAGCGGAGGAACAUGUGGUUUAAUUCGAUGAUACGCGAGGAACCUUACCCGGGCUUAAAUUGCAGAUGAAUUACGGUGAAAGCCGUAAGCCGCAAGGCAUCUGUGAAGGUGCUGCAUGGUUGUCGUCAGCUCGUGCCGUGAGGUGUCGGCUUAAGUGCCAUAACGAGCGCAACCCUUGUUGUCAGUUACUAACAGGUUCCGCUGAGGACUCUGACAAGACUGCCAUCGUAAGAUGUGAGGAAGGUGGGGAUGACGUCAAAUCAGCACGGCCCUUACGUCCGGGGCUACACACGUGUUACAAUGGGGGGUACAGAGGGCCGCUACCACGCGAGUGGAUGCCAAUCCCAAAACCUCUCUCAGUUCGGACUGGAGUCUGCAACCCGACUCCACGAAGCUGGAUUCGCUAGUAAUCGCGCAUCAGCCACGGCGCGGUGAAUACGUUCCCGGGCCUUGUACACACCGCCCGUCAAGCCAUGGGAGCCGGGGGUACCUGAAGUGCGUAACCGCGAGGAGCGCCCUAGGGUAAAACUGGUGACUGG